ACUGUAUGAUGAACGUAAAAUGACAAGCAUAUGGCUGAGCCGAAGUGAUGUUAAAUUCGGAGCUGAUAAGU